ACCAGACACCAUGAGUCACCCCAGCUGUGGGCAGCAAUCUGGCAGCAGGAGGGGCUGCUGGUGGGCACACAGCAGGGAUGUGUGGAGCACUGCUGGGACUCUCCCUGUGUGACUGCAGAUCUCAAGAGCAAGAGAUUUACUGCGUGAUGCCGGCCACACCUUGAGCUGCUGCAGGGGAACAAAGGCAGGAACCGAAGCAGCACGGUGCUGGGGGCAAAUGUUCCAUUAUCAAUGACAAUGAUUCCUGGAUAUGGAUUUUGGAUAUGGACUGUGACAUGUAAGGCAUAAUGCACCAAACCAAGAUACAUCUUGGCUGAUAUAUGUGAGCCUACAGAGAGAAAAGUAUGGAAUUUCUGCCAGAACCAGUGUGCUACUGACCCUGAGAUGGUGGAUGGAAAGACAAUCCAUAUGAAAACAGAGGCUCAGAUCCUCAACUGUUGAAUCAUGGCUUGAGCUGCUCUUUUCUGCUUGCCUGGGGGAAGAUCUCUCCCCUGGUAUUUUGAAUUGGAGAUUGCUGGGGUAGACAUGAAAAUCUACCCCCUGCUCCAGCCCUCCUAGAGUUUUUAAUCUCAUGCACUAACCAAAGAAUCAACAAGUAUAUCAUCUUCCUUCCAGAGAGAUAAGAGCCUCUAAGAAGCAGAGCACUCUGCCUUCCAACAAACUCAUGCAUAAAAGGUUAAUUUAGAGGCUGAGAUAUCUGUGUAUGUUGGACAAAUGGGGAGCUGAAGGGAUGCUUUUUAUUCCUCCCAUUCUCCUAGCCUUGGCCAGUGAGUGCAGAUUGAAUGUAUGACUUUACAUUAUGGAGCACCUCUCCAUCACCCAAGCCUUUGUCAAUUCACCAAAUGUGACAAUUAUAGCAUUUCAGAGAUGAGACUUUCUAAUCCUAUUACUCAUUCAUCAACCUGCGGAUGAUAGCAGAAGCCAGAUCGAACAGUGCCAAAAGAGCAGUGAGGAGCCUUCUCCAGUGCUGUGAAACUAGGCUUAGCUCAGGCACAAUAGGUGUGUAAUUUAAGGUUUUGUUGAGCUGAAAUCCAAUCACAUACUUGACUGGUAGAUCACAGAAAGACACAGACAAAAAGAAUGAGAUAAUUCUACCUCACACAAACACUUGAAUCCGGCUUUGACUUAAUAACAAGUGUGUGAUCAACCUUACACUGUUUCUUUCUUUUUUUAUUUUUUUAUUUUUAUUUGAACCUAGAAAUGGGAUGGCACUGAAAUACUUCACCUACUUGGGUGUCAGCCAAUAAUAUGAAGAAAAAAAUACCAGAAGGAAAUUGAGACAUGGGAGCUCCCUUGUGUGUGUGGGUGCCACGUGCUGCAGCCCUGUGCCACUGCCAGUUACACAACCACACAUAGGGGACUGGGAGUGUGGAGGAGAGAACCACUGUCUUUCAUGGAAAUACAAAAUAGAAAAAGGAAGGACCUCUUUGGUGGUGUGGUCCCUUCAGCCCCAUGGGUUCAUUCACUGCAGAGGUGCCUGUGCUCUUCUUCAGGACAGCAUGAGGAGGAAAAUUAAGCUGUGAACUGGAAUUCCAUCAGGCUGUCUACUGUAAAGCCCUGUGGCUUUAGAAAAGGGGCAGUAGUGGUCAGAAAUGACACUCAAAAGCAAAUAACAUGUAAUUAAUAGAAUUACAGUUCCUGUGAAAGAGAGAAGGUGCUUUUACUUCACAGAACCAUCUAAGGAAGGAAGUUCAUCUCGUGGUAGAAACACUGUCACAGGAUCUCAGAUCCCCGCAGUCUCUCAGAGUCUCAGAACUCUUCUCAUUUCAUGAAGAAGGAAACUAAGGCACAGUGGGCAGAAGGUGCUCCAGCUCCUCAGAUUUACCUCCAAUAAGCUGAAACAAUUUGUUCAAGGGCACUCAGAAUCCGGGUAAUUAUUCAUGUCAACCAACUCCUUGUUCCCAAACCAUCUGUGCCCAGGCUUCCCAGGCCUAUGUGUUUUUGAGAGUGUGACACACAUAUUUAGUCAGCUGGCAAUUUUAAAGAAAGAAACAUGUUAUUUAAGAAAAAUAUCAGAGGUGUUUAGGAUGCUCUUGAUGCUGGCUGCUCACGUCGU